rnacentral:lncRNA from 1 species
AUGAAUUCAAUUUGACAAGAAUUCAAUUCAAAACCCAUUCAUGAAAAAGUUCUUUAAAAAACAGGAACAGAAGCAAAUUUUCCAAAAUUGAUUAAAAAAAAAUACAAAAAAUUUCAGCCAACAGUACACUUGACAAUAAUAGACUAAAAUUUUACCUCCUAAGACUGGGAAUAAGAUAAGAAUGUCUGUUAUCACUACUUUUAUUCAUCAUAGUGCUAGAAGUUCUAGCCAGUGCAACAGGGCAAGAAAAGAAAAGAAAAAGCACAUAAGCUGUACUAUUUGCAUAUGAAACUAUUGUCUAUAUAGAAAAUCUCAAGGAAUCUACACAAAAUAUUCCUACUACUAAUUGAAUUCAGCAAGGCUACAAGAUACAAGAAAAACAGAACAAAAUCAAUAGUGUUUCUGUAUAUCAGCAAUGAGCCCAUGGACACCAAAAUUUAUCUAUCUAUCUAUAUUUAAAAUAGAGAUGUAUUUAUAUAUGUGUAUAUGUGUAUAUACAUAUAGAUACACAUAAUUUAUAAUCACUCAAAAUAAAAAGGAAAUAUGAAGGAAUAAAUCUAGCAAAACAUGUUUAGGACUUUUAUGAUGAACACUAGAAAUGCUAAUGAAGAAAUCAAAGAAUUUUUCAAGUGUAGAGACAGGCUAUGUUCAUUGAUUGGAUGACUCAACUCAAAAAAAAAAAAAGAUGCAAUUUCUUCCCAAAUUGUUAUAUAGGUUCACCACAAUUUUUAUCAAAAUCUGAUAUAGACAAGAUUAUGCUAAAAUUGUUGUAGAUAUAGACAAGAUUAUGCUAAAAUUUUAUGAAAAAGCAAAUACAUUGAAAUAGCUAGAACGAUUUUUAAAAAAAUAAAGUGAAAAGAAUCAGUUUAUUAAAUUUCAAGACAUUGUACAACUACAUUAAUUAAGAUUAUGGUAUUAGCAAAAGGACAGAUUCAUAGGUUAAUUGGACAAAACAGAGAAUCCAAAAUAGAUUUACAUAAAUAUGCCCAACUAAUGUUUGAUUAAUAUGGAAAGUCAUUUCAAUAGAGGAAGGAUAGUCUUUUCAACAAAUGGUAUAAGAGCAAUUGGGUAUCUAGAAGCAAAAAAUGAAAGAGAAAGAAACUCUGUCUGAUAACAUAUAAAUAUUAAUUCAAAAUGGGUCACAGGCUUAAAUGCAAAAUGUAAAACUACAAAAUAUUAGAUAAAACGUGGGGACAAUAUUCAGAGUCUGGGCUUAGACUUGACACCAAAAACAGGUGCACAAAAGGAAAAGUUGACAAGCGGGACUUCAUUAAAAUUAAAGAAUUUUCUUCUAUGAUAGACCCUAUCUAAAGGAUAAAAAGAUAUGAUAUAGAUUGGGGAAACAGGGUUGCAAAUAUCAUAUUUGAAAACUAAUAGUAUCUAAGCAGGUAAGAAUCUCUCAAAGCUAACCUAUACAGUCAUACUUUGAUGAUAAUAAUGUAAAGAGGUGAAGCAGUUUUGGAAAAGUUUGACAGUUCUCCAAAAAUUAAACAGAGUUACCAUAGACACAGCAAUUCCACUCCUAGGUAUUUAUACAAUAGAAUUGAAAAGAUGUGCAACAAAAACUU